rnacentral:lncRNA from 1 species
AUGUUUUUCAAUCCUAGAAGUUCUGUUUGGUUGUUUUUCAAAUGUCCAUGGUCAUUAUUAUUAUUAUUAUUAUUAUUUUUUAGGCGACAUGGUGGAGGCGGCCGGUGUUGGAUGAACCCAGAUUUGGGACGAGCAAAGAAAGUUCCACCUUUGCCUCCUCCGAGCCAAAAGCCAAAAGCCUUGGCCCCAAGGUUUUUUUUUUUCCUAAUGGAGAGCCUGGUGGGUUGCCGUCUCUGGGGUCGCACAGAGUUGGACACGACUG